AAACAGCUAGUUUAAAAAAAAUAUUUGAUUUCGACUCAAAAGCUUGUGGUCAAAUUCCGCAGCUGUUUA
rnacentral:tRNA from 1 species